rnacentral:rRNA from 1 species
AGCUUGCUUUUCCGCCGGCGACCGGCGCACGGGUGCGCACCGCGUAUGGAACCUGCCUUGUACAGGGGAAUAGCCCAGGGAAACUUGGAUUAAUGCCCCGUAGUACCGUAUUUCGGCAUCGUUAUACGGUUAAAGCCUUCGGGCGGUACAAGAUGGCCAUGCGUCCCAUUAGCUUGUUGGUAAGGUAACGGCUUACCAAGGCUACGAUGGGUAGGGGCCCUGAGAGGGGGAUCCCCCACACUGGUACUGAGACACGGACCAGACUCCUACGGGAGGCAGCAGUGAGGAAUAUUGGACAAUGGAGGAGACUCUGAUCCAGCCAUGCCGCGUGCAGGAAGAAUGCCCUAUGGGUAGUAAACUGCUUUUAUACGGGAAGAAAAAGAGCUACGUGUAGCUUACUGACGGUACCGUAAGAAUAAGGACCGGCUAACUCCGUGCCAGCAGCCGCGGUAAUACGGAGGGUCCGAGCGUUAUCCGGAAUUAUUGGGUUUAAAGGGUCCGUAGGCGGGCCGAUAAGUCAGGGGUGAAAGUCUGCCGCUCAACGGUAGAACUGCCUUUGAUACUGUCGGUCUUGAGUUAUAGUGAAGUUGCCGGAAUAUGUAGUGUAGCGGUGAAAUGCAUAGAUAUUACAUAGAACACCGAUUGCGAAGGCAGGUGACUAACUAUAUACUGACGCUGAUGGACGAAAGCGUGGGGAGCGAACAGGAUUAGAUACCCUGGUAGUCCACGCCGUACACGAUGGAUACUAGCUGUCCGGAGCCUUGAGUUCUGGGCGGCCAAGCGAAAGUGA